rnacentral:rRNA from 1 species
GGCCUACCAUGGUGGUAACGGGUAACGGGGUGUUAGGGCACGACACCGGAGAGGGAGCCUGAGAAACGGCUACCACAUCCAAGGAUGGCAGCAGGCGCGCAAAUUACCCAAUCCCGACACGGGGAGGUAGUGACAAUAAAUAACAAUACGGGGUUCUUUCGGAUCUCGUAAUUGGAAUGAGUGCAAUUUAAAUCUCUUAACGAGGAACAAUUGGAGGGCAAGUCUGGUGCCAGCAGCCGCGGUAAUUCCAGCUCCAAUAGCGUAUAUUAAAGUUGUUGCAGUUAAAAAGCUCGUAGUUGAAUUUCGGGGUUAGUAGGCUGGUCGUGCCACCGGUACGUACUGGUCUUACUGAUUCCUCCUUCCUGAUGAAUUGUAAUGCCAUUAAUUUGGUGUUGCAGGGAAUCUGGACUGUUACUUUGAAAAAAUUAGAGUGUUUAAAGCAGGCUAACGCUUGAAUACAUUAGCAUGGAAUAAUGAAAUAGGACGUUCGAUCCUAUUUUGUUGGUUUCUAGGAUUGACGUAAUGAUUAAUAGGGAUAGUUGGGGGCAUUAGUAUUCAAUUGUCAGAGGUGAAAUUCUUGGAUUUAUUGAAGACUAACUACUGCGAAAGCAUUUGCCAAGGAUGUUUUCAUUAAUCAAGAACGAAAGUUAGGGGAUCGAAGACGAUCAGAUACCGUCGUAGUCUUAACCAUAAACUAUGCCGACUAGGGAUCGGAUGAUGUUAAUUUUUUAAUGACUCAUUCGGCGCCUUACG